GCAACCUAAACUCCUCAUCAACCAAAACCAUCCAUGAAAAUGUACCCACCUCCUCCAAACCACGAAAAACAUAUUACGCCAAAACUCUCAUCCGUGUCGCCCGCAUCUAGCCUCCUCUGCGUCGCCCGCACCUAGCCUCCUCCGCCACUCAUCUGAGUUGCCUGCGACUAGCUUCCUCAGCCACUCCUCCGCAUCGUCCGUGACCUAGCCUCCUCUGCCACUCCUCCAUGUCGCCCGCGAUCUAGUUUCCUCCGCCACUCCUCCGCCCACUCAUCAUCAUCACCCGGUUCUUCAAUUGUUAGUGGAUCUCAAAUAUAUGGUAAGAUUUAAGAUCCGCGUCUUUGGAGAUUCCAUGGGUUGCAAGUUAGGAUCCUGUUGGGGUUGGGGUCUGCUGCCAUAGUGAUGAAUAACAUGCUUACAAACGAAGGCUUUGGCUCAUUUUACAAGAUUUGCUUCUCAUCUCUUUUGGUGGAAGGUGUUGUCGAGAUAGGUACGGUGGAAUUAGGCGAUCUUCAACUGUCUUCUUACCUUGUAGAAACUGCAUUCGUUGGAAAACCAUACUUUCAGAAUGGUGUACCUUCGCUUGUUGCCUUGCCUUCUAAUUGUACAAAUACUCAUUGCAUUGAAAAGUUUGUAGAGGAUGAUGGAUUUUUUAUAUAACUUGUGUUUGUUGGAAACUCUUCCUAUAUUAUUUACUUACAAUUUCAUUGUACGUAUCCUGAUGAAUUCUCAGUUGAUUCAAUUUUAGAUUGGAUGACAACCAAUAUUCUUGGUCUACCUCGCAUUCUUUACUAUUCAAAGGAGACUCUGGUAAUACAUGUGCUCUGGGUAAUUUAAAUAGCAUGGUAAUUUUUUUUGUGAGGUCUUGGUUGAAGUUUAUUAGGUGAACCUUAGCAUCGAUGUUAGUUGCCACAUGCUAUUACUAACUAGGCUAGGCUUGCGGUCUAGCUGUGGGCAUGGGUCUCAAGUUUUUGAGAGCUACAUUAAUUGUUUAUCCUAGGUGUUUAUGCAAACUCUUUAGCUGUUUUUACUGUCAUAUGGGGUGGUGUUAUAUAACUUAUUUUUUGAACUUUUGUUCUUGUGGUGCUCUCUGUUACCUAUCAUUUUCAGGCCAAGUUCAUUGCAACAAGUGGUCGCUAUAAAAUACUGGCUGCAAACUAAUAGACUUGUGAGGACAACUACUUAAAAUGUUAUGUCUAAUAUAUUUUUAAUGUUUCUUUAAACCCUUAGACAAGCUAAUGGGUUGAUUUAUGUUUCGGAAAAAUAAAGUAUUAGGGUAGUGAACUAAUGAUAUGUAUUCUUUCAAUAGUGGGCAUUUUCUCUAAUGGUUGCAAAUUAAAGAAUUCGGAUUACUCCCUGCUCCUAAACUUUCAUCUUCCCUCCUUAUUAGUUUUGGAAUACCAGCAAAAUGGGUGCCUCCUCCACCACCCUCUUCUCUUCUUUUCUUCUUCUGAUUCUUCCACUCUUUUUAUCCCUCUCUCAUCCUAUCUUCGUGUCUUCCUCCUUUCCCAUCUGCUUCUACUGCUAUAAUCAUUGCCUCAUUCAGAGAGAGGGGUUGGUUAUGGAUUCUCACUUUAUUGGCUCAAUCAGAUAUUCAGGAAACUGAUUCAUAGUUCGACAAUCAUAAUAUGAGCCUAAACAGUCCUAAAUAUUAAACUGUGACAAUCUCCUACAAAGUAGUAAAUGCAAUCUGGGAUGGUGAACCACCAGGUAAAAAU